UACGUAGGAGACGAGCGUUUGUCCGGGAGUUACUGGGGCGAAAAGGGCGCGUAGGCGGCCUGGCAAGUGGAAGGUGAAAUCCCUCGGCUUAACCGAGGAACUGCCCUCCAAACUGCUUGGCUUGAGACCGGGAGAGGUGAGUGGAAUUCCCAGUGUAGCGGUGAAAUGCGCAGAUAUCAGGAGGAACACCGGUGGCGAAGG
rnacentral:rRNA from 1 species